rnacentral:ncRNA from 14 species
ACGGAAUAGGAAGCAGCUGGUGCCGCGGGGAGCGGAGAAUAGGGAAGCAGGUGAAAGUCCUGCGCGAUCUCGUCACUGUAAGCAGGAGUCCAUUGCUAUUAUGUCACUGAGUCAUCGGGAAGGCAGCAAUGGGUGUUUGAACUGUGAGCCAGGAGACCUGCCAGACUGUGGUACGGGAAA